UACGAGGGGUGCGAGCGUUGUUCGGAAUUAUUGGGCGUAAAGGGUGCGUAGGCGGUUCCGCAAGUCCUGUGUGAAAUCUUCGGGCUCAACUCGAAGUCUGCACGGGAAACUGCGGGGCUUGAGCGUGGGAGAGGUGAGUGGAAUUCCCGGUGUAGCGGUGAAAUGCGCAGAUAUCAGGAGGAACACCGAUGGCGAAGGCAGGUCUCUGGGCCACUACUGACGCUGAGAAGCGAAAGCAUGGGGAGCGAACAGG
rnacentral:rRNA from 1 species